rnacentral:rRNA from 1 species
UCAGUUAUAGUUUAUUUGAUAGUACCCUACUACAUGGAUACCUGUGGUAAUUCUAGAGCUAAUACAUGCGCAAAACCCCGACUUCGGAAGGGGUGUAUUUAUUAGAUAAAAAACCAAUGCCCUUCGGGGCUCCUUGGUGAUUCAUAAUAACUUCACGAAUCGCAUGGCCUUGCGCCGGCGAUGGUUCAUUCAAAUUUCUGCCCUAUCAACUUUCGAUGGUAGGAUAGUGGCCUACCAUGGUGGCAACGGGUAACGGGGAAUUAGGGUUCGAUUCCGGAGAGGGAGCCUGAGAAACGGCUACCACAUCCAAGGAAGGCAGCAGGCGCGCAAAUUACCCAAUCCCAAUACGGGGAGGUAGUGACAAUAAAUACUGAUACAGGGCUCUUUUGGGUCUUGUAAUUGGAAUGAGAACAAUCUAAAUCCCUUAACGAGGAACAAUUGGAGGGCAAGUCUGGUGCCAGCAGCCGCGGUAAUUCCAGCUCCAAUAGCGUAUAUUAAAGUUGUUGCAGUUAAAAAGCUCGUAGUUGAACCUUGGGCCCGUCCUGCCGGUCCGCCUCACCGCGAGUACUGGUCCGGAUGGGCCUUUCUUUCUGGGGAAUCCCAUGGCCUUCACUGGCUGUGGCGGGGAACCAGGACUUUUACUGUGAAAAAAUUAGAGUGUUCAAAGCAGGCCUUUGCUCGGAUACAUUAGCAUGGAAUAAUAAAAUAGGAUGUGCGGUUCUAUUUUGUUGGUUUCUAGGACCGCCGUAAUGAUUAAUAGGGAUAGUCGGGGGCGUCAGUAUUCAGCUGUCAGAGGUGAAAUUCUUGGAUUUGCUGAAGACUAACUACUGCGAAAGCAUUCGCCAAGGAUGUUUUCAUUAAUCAGGAACGAAAGUUAGGGGAUCGAAGACGAUCAGAUACCGUCGUAGUCUUAACCAUAAACUAUGCCGACUAGGGAUCGGGCGGGGUUUCUAUGAUGACCCGCUCGGCACCUUACGAGAAAUCAAAGUUUUGGGUCUGGGGGGAGUAUGGUCGCAAGCUGAACUUAAGAAUUGACGAAGGCACCCACAGGCGUGGAGCUGCGCUUAUUGACUCACCCGGGGAAACCCCACAAGUCAGACAAUAGAUGACGGAUGAAGCUCUUUCUGAAUCUUGA